CUGUUUCUUGUUUGUUUUGCUGGAGAGGCUGUUUGUUGGAAGCUUCGUUUUAACCUGUUACUUGAUACCUUUCUCGUUACAUUGGCUGUUUGUGAGCUGUGAAAAUGAGUCGAACUCUGGCGGGAAUCCUCUGCAUCGAUCAAGAAAAUCCUCAGCUCAACCAGUCCAGAGUUUGGAUCAUCAUGGAAGAGACUGUGGUGAUGGACGAACUGGCAACAGCCCUGCACCUGGACUACCCCAAGUCCAUGGAAAACACUUUCAGCUCUGUUCAGCAGGACAUGAAUGACACAAACUCACAGUUUUAAGCAGAUGAUUCAUUAAAAUUUAAAGCAGGGAGUCCUCGGGAACUGGCCAAAAAAUAUACAUCUCGGAUCCAGUCAAGUAAGAAAACCAGUGAAUGGCGGCGUGUGCAGUUUCCUGACGG